CCUACGGGAGGCUGCAGUGAGGAAUAUUGGUCAAUGGGCGCGAGCCUGAACCAGCCAAGUAGCGUGAAGGAUGACUGCCCUACGGGUUGUAAACUUCUUUUAUAAAGGAAUAAAGUGAGGCACGUGUACCUUUUUGUAUGUACUUUAUGAAUAAGGCACGGCUAACUCCGUUCCAGCAGCCGCGGUAAUAAGGAAGAUCCGAGGGUUAUCCGGAUUUAUUGGGAUUAAAGGGAGCGUAGAUGGGUUGUUAAGUCAGUUGUGAAAGUUUGCGGCUCAACCGUAAAAUUUCAAGUGAUACUGGCAGACUUGAGUACAGUUGAGGUAGGUGGAAUUCGUGGUGUAGCGGUGAAAUGCUUAGAUAGCAGGAAGAACUCCGAUUGCGAAGG
rnacentral:rRNA from 1 species